rnacentral:lncRNA from 1 species
UUUCCAUGCAGGUUCAGCCACUCUAACCCCACUUCUCGUUCCACCCUCAUACUUAUUAUUAUAUUAUAUAGUCGAAAAAUAAAAUAAUCGAAGCAUCACCCUCAUCCAACCCUUGUAUAAAUACUCCUCCUCGCUUCGACAUGAUUCACAACUUAAACAAAGCGAGAAGCUACCUCAACUUUCUCCUUUCCUCUUCCUCAGUCUCAGACUCUCAGCCUUGAGCUCAGCUACAAUGGCAUCGUUCUUCGCUUCUAAGACAGCUCUUCUUCCAAAGCUCUUCCUCGCCCUCUGCCUCCUCCAGAUGGCCUCCGCCACCAGGAGGCUGGCCGAGCUGGUCCAAGACCAGUCCCCGCCCAUGAAGUACCACAAUGGCCCUCUCCUCUCUGGCAAGAUCUCCAUCAACCUCAUCUGGUACGGCCGCUUCAAGCCCUCCCAGCGCACCAUCGUCUCCGACUUCGUCACCUCCCUCUCCUCCGACCCUUCUUUGGCUCAGGCCCCUCCUUCCGUCUCCCAGUGGUGGAAGACGGUCGACAAGUACUACCACCUCUCCUCCUCCAAGAGGCACGCUCCCUCUCUCAGGCUCUCCCUCGGGAGGCAAGUCCUCGACGAGAGCUACUCGCUAGGGAAGUCCCUCACGAGCAAGCACCUCGUCGAGCUCGCGUCCCGGGGCGAACAGCGGAACGCCAUCAACGUCGUUCUCACCUCCUCCGACGUGGCCGUCGAGGGAUUCUGCAUGAGCCGGUGCGGCUCCCACGACUCCGCCGUCGGUUCCGUCAAGGUCAAGGGCAGGAGCUCGAGGUUCGCGUACAUCUGGGUGGGCAACUCGGAGACGCAGUGCCCGGGGCAGUGCGCGUGGCCGUUCCACCAGCCCCUGUACGGCCCGCAGAGCCCCCCGUUGGUGGCGCCCAACGGGGACGUCGGCGUCGACGGGAUGGUGAUCAACCUUGCAGGCCUCCUCGCCGGGACCGCCACGAACCCGUUCUCAAACGGGUACUACCAGGGCGAGGCGGGGGCGUCGCUGGAGGCGGCGUCAGCGUGCACCGGGAUCUACGCCAAUGGGGCAUACCCUGGCUACGCCGGGAACUUGCUGGUGGAGGAGGCGACGGGGGCGAGCUACAACGCGCACGGCGUGAACGGGAGGAAGUACCUGGUCCCGGCUCUCUACGAUCCGUCCACGUCGUCGUGUUCGACUCUGGUGUGAGUGAAGUGGCGACAGAUAGAAACUAUGACGUUUAGGCUACCAAAUUAAUUCAUUCAUUUGUUUAUUGGUUCUGCAGUUCCUCUAUAUUAUUGUCAUUAUAUUUAAUGAAAAAGGCAAACUACUUUUAUUUGCUACAAUUACGUGAGCCAUGGAAAAUCAACCGGACAAAAUCCACUCUUAAUCUGAGGAGUUCAGCUCUUCACUCACAGAAAUCAAUAAACCGACCGGGCUAAUUACACCAUUUGUGGAAGAAAAGAUAAUUACGUAGUGAAAUUACCCAUUUAGUUUUUAAGGGAACAGAUGGAGGGGCUUAGGUCGACGGAGCGUGAGAAAUCCAUUAUUAAUACUGGCGUAAGUCAUUGGUUAUGGCAAAAGGCACAUGGGAUGAGAACUUUUUCUUUUCUAAGUGAAGGUGCUGCAUAUGACACGAACGUUAUUUAACUUAACAGCAACCCCAAAUGAUUAUAACUUUAUGGUUUAUUCAAAUUAUUCCUAUUAGGUGCUCAUCGUGGUGAAAAUAGUUAAGUUGUUAUAUAUGGUUUCUAAGGGACAAGGUGCGAUGCUCCUCACAGACCCCCAGGGAGACAUCUGAAAUGAGUCAUUUCUUACAAAUGUGGCUUGACCACGGCUAACUUUCUUAUAUUCAUGUAAAUUAAUCUUAUACUUAACUACACUUGAGGUGGGAGCUUUUAUCAUACCGUGAGUCAAGCAACUAGUCACUUACAUUAACCAUUGGAUGAAGCCCAUAUUACAUCAUACUCCUUCAAUUUACCAGUCAAGAAAUAAUAAUAUAGAAUAUAGAUUUGAGGAAUUUUUGUAUAUAGUUCGAUGUCUAGAAAAGAGUAUAUAGAGAGCUUAAAUUUUAACUUUAAUAGAUGAUUAUUUAAGGAAACUAUAUUAGAUAUGGAUUAUUAGAAUAGAUAUAGAAAAUUAUAGAAAAUAUCCUAAAUAUCUUUAAAUAUUAACUUUGAUAGAUGAUUAUUUAAGGAAACUAUAUUAGAUAUGGAUUAUUAGAAUAGAUAUAGAAAAUUAGAGAAAAUAUCCUAAAUAUCUCUAGAAGAAAUCAACACAUGUCUAACAUCCAAUUUCAAACUCACAAGGACUAAUUCAACUUGAGUUUGAAAUCAAAUUAAAUCACAUCCGGCGAUUGAGAUGUGGCGAAUGAGGUGGCUUCUACGUUGUUUGUGGUGAAACUCCCAAAUCUAGCUAAUUUGAGGGAGGCAAGUUUGAUGGUGGUUUUGACUUUACAAAAUGAUGCAGGUUGAGAAUUGGAGGGCAAAAUGCUAGCUGCUAUUGUGGCUAGCUUGCAGAAUGGUAACUGACCGAUAUGGCUAGUACAACUAGUGUCGCAACAUCAGGCGACUUAUAUGAUAGGCUUGGGAAAAUAGUUACUAAGUGAUGUGACCUCUCCAACUACCAUAGAAAAAGCCACCUUAGUGAUAAAGGUUCAAUUGGGCAAUGCGAGCGGCACAAUUGGUGUGGAAUGGAUUGGAUUAAGUGUUUCCUCAAAUUAGACUUAUAUGUAUGAAGUGAAAACUGUUGACUGUUGAGCAGUAGGGAUGGAUGAUUUAUUUGGGUGUACAUUAGGGUGCUUGGGGAGCAUGGGUGUAUCAAUGCAAAGUGUACCUAGUGUACUAGGGUUGCCUUAGCAAAGAGGUUCUAAUACCAAGUCAAAAAUGAAAAAAACCCCAAAUUAUUAUAGACGUACUAAAUGUACUUUCCAAUAUUUUUUCGUUAAAUUUUACCAUAAAAAAACUGAGUUAAAUGACAUGUGAUAAUUGACAAGUGUACCAGCUCAAGGGUUUACUCUUCAUUUGUUACAGAUGUAUCAAUUUAUGAUUUUUCGUGAUAUUAAUUCAAUUUAAUAAAAAUUAACGAAGGUAAAUUUCUCAUAAAUAUAUCAGUUUGAGGUUUAAAAAAUUAAUUUUGGAUAAAUUUAUCAUUGGUGUACAAUUUUGGGGUUUUUAAUGAUAAAAAAAAUUAAUUCAAGGUAAAUUUGUCAUAGUGUACUAAUUUGGAGUUUUUCAUGAUAUUAAACUAAAAUAAUAAUGCAGAAGAUAGAUUUGAGGAAGUUCUUUAUAUAGUUCGAUUUAUAGAAAAUAGUACAUGAAGAUUUUAUUUAUAGACUUUAAUAGAUGACUAUGUAAGGAAAAGGGAUUAGAUAUGCACAAUCGAAAUAGAUAAAAAAAAAAUCAGAAAUAAUUUCUUAAAUAUUACUAAAAGAUAUAUGCAUUUCUCUAACAUCACCAUUGAUCCACCGCUGCAAUAAUUGUUAACGAUGUUUAUAAUUUUCAGGAAAAUUUGUGUCGAUUAAUGAUAGACAUCGAAACUCGGACAUGAGAUCCAUGGCAUGGCAUGCUCAAAAGAGCUGCGUCGCUAAACCUAUAAAAAAUGUGGAUUCGCACUUAGCUAACACGCCCAUCCUUGACAAUUAGCUCCACCGCCACCACCAACUAGCGUGUCUCCUUCUCGCGACCCAAGAGGCAGGCCACUGAUUGGUUUCGUUCUCUCGGUCAAAACUCUUGUUUUUCCCUUAGCUGUUAAUGCCCUGUAAUGAAAUGUAUAACUGUUGGACCGAGAGUUUUGACUUUUUGCCAACGAAAACAAUUCAUUAACAAGCAAAUGUGUCAAAUCAAGUUGGCCUCUCUUUCCUUUACUUCACCAUUCUCUCCUCACUACCAUCCUCUCACCUUCCCCCUCUCUUGCCAAAUCUAACUUCAUUUCUUUCGCUCAGCUACUCCUAAGGGCUCCAAUCGGCCUUCUCUUUCUCAUUUCUACCCAUCAUAUUAAUCAGACCUGUGUGUUCUAUCUUGGGCAAUCUUCUCAAUGGGGGGUUUUGUAUAUGCAUGUUUUUCCUAUAUAGAAAUAUUCACAGUGUGGUCCCUUUUGCGAUCCAUUACCUUGGAUUUUUUUACUAAAGAGCUGAACCAUAAAAUUGAAAUUGGUCGAAAACUUGGUUGGAUCUUGGUUCGAGAAAAGGAUACAAUUUGACCUUGGGGAUCCUAUUUAGAUUUAUACCAUUGAGUAUAACAAAAUCUCAAUUGGAUCGUGGAUCGAGUUAAACACUCUUGUAACCUUAGUUUAUUUUAUUUUAUUUUAUUUUAUUUAUUUGGCUGCAUGUGCUCAGUUAUGAAUAAUAUGGAUGACGUGUCAUAUGCUAGUGCAAGAGUUUAGGUGAUUUUAGGACAAACCCAAGCUUUUGGUCACACCACUCAAUUCCCACGCGUUACAUUAUCCCUUUCGCUUUACUCAUCCCAUAUAUUUAUCAUUGGUCAACCAAGGCCACUAUUGGUAAUAAAUAAAUAAAAACCAAGACUGCCGCGUAGCGCAAAACUCACGAGUGUGGCCCAGCGGGGGCCUCCAAUAUGAUGGAGUACCAUCGACCACCUCUGAAAAAGUCGUCCUAACAGCGUAAAUGCAAUGAUAAUUGAACGCCUAGUCGAGCACCAGUUGUCAUUUGUUAAUCUUGCUGGUGAAGAUGCAACUGGGAAUGGCAAUACCACAUCAUCUCCUCCAAAUUUAAUUAUUACAUUCAUGAGCUGCCCUCCUUUGUCUCUUUCCAGGCAGGUUCCGGCACUUUAACCCCACUUCUACGUUCCCAACUUCAUAUCUAUUUAUUAUUAUAUUAUAUAGUCGUAAAAUAAAAUAAUCGAAGCAUCACCCCAUCCCCAACCUUCUAUAAAUACUCCUCGCUUCGACACAACCCACAAUUUCAACAAAGCGAGAAGCUACCUCAGCUUUCACCUUUCCUCUUUCCUCAGUCUCAGCCAAAACUCAGCU